rnacentral:rRNA from 1 species
UGGGAACGCGAAGAACCUUACCAGGGCUUGACAUCCUACUAAUGAAGCAGAGAUGCAUUAAGUGCCCUUCGGGGAAAGUAGGGACAGGUGGUGCAUGGUUGUCGUCAGCUCGUGUCGUGAGAUGUUGGGUUAAGUCCCGCAACGAGCGCAACCCCUACUUGUUAGUUGCUACGCAAGAAGCACUCUAGCGAGACUGCCGUUGACAAAACGGAAGGAAGGUGGGGACGGACGUCAAAUCAUCAUGCCCCUUACUGUCCUGGGCCACACACGUAAUACAAUGGCGUUAAACAGAGGGAUGCUAAGCCGUGAGGUGGAGCGAACCCCUAAAAGGACGUCUCAGUUCGGAUUGCAGGCUGCAACUCGCCUGCAUGAAGUGGAAUCGCUAGUAAUCGCGGAUCAGAAUGCCGCGGUGAAUACGUU